GCCAGAGUCACAUCACCCUGCAGAUCUCGCCUGGGCUCCCCCUGAAGAUAAGCAGGGUUGAGUCUGGUCAGUACCUGGAUGAGACAACCUGGGGAAAACUAAGGUUGCUGCUGGAA
rnacentral:rRNA from 1 species